AUUGAACGCUGGCGGCAGGCCUAACACAUGCAAGUCGAGCGGAUGAAGGGAGCUUGCUCCUGGAUUCAGCGGCGGACGGGUGAGUAAUGCCUAGGAAUCUGCCUGGUAGUGGGGGAUAACGUCCGGAAACGGGCGCUAAUACCGCUUACGUCCUGAGGGAGAAAGUGGGGGAUCUUCGGACCUCACGCUAUCAGAUGAGCCUAGGUCGGAUUAGCUAGUUGGUGGGGUAAAGGCCUACCAAGGCGACGAUCCGUAACUGGUCUGAGAGGAUGAUCAGUCACACUGGAACUGAGACAGGGUCCAGAGGCCUAAGGGAGGCAGCAGUGGGGAAUAUUGGACAAUGGGCGAAAGCAUGAUCCAGCCAGGGCGCGUGUGUGAAGAAGGUCUUCGGAUUGUAAAGCACGUUAAGUUGGGAGGAAGGGCAGUAAGUUAAUACCUAGCUGUUUUGACGUUACCAGCAGAAUAAGCACCGGCUAACUUCGUG
rnacentral:rRNA from 1 species